rnacentral:lncRNA from 1 species
CAUGUUUGUGUUCUUGACCCUAUAGUGUUCCUUUAAUGCUGAUUUGUUAUAUUCUUUUAUAAAAAGUGUGACUUGUAUACUAUUUUCACAGUUUUAUAAUUCAAAAGAAAAACUGCAGAGUUCUCAGAUUCAUAAUCAGUUUGCUUCAAGAUUGGAGUUGGACAAGCCUACUUACAAUAGACGUGAUCUAACAUCGAAAUUCAGAUUGAAGCCGGGGACAUAUUUAAUUUAUCCAUUUGUUGAGAAGACACAAUUGGAAUUCUCGUUCCUUCUGCAAAUAUUCCUGAAAAGCCAAGACUGCAUAAUGUAAAUAUCUUGAUAAUUUUAAAUUUUUCCUUUUACACAUUGUCCAAUGACGUAUAACAUAAUCACGCAAAAUAGUAUAUACACACAGGGAUUUUAUAUACAAUGUAAGCCUGUUUCCUCUGAAUAUUAUAUAAGGAUGGAGUUUUUUGCAGCAGAUGAAAAUCAUGUCUACCCAUCUAUUCUACCAUUUUAAACCAGUUCCAAAAACUUAAAUAUUAUUUGGACACUGACUUUGUCAUUUGAUACGAUGUCUUGUUCUAUUGCCUCCACCUGGACGCAGCCCCAGGGACCAAACCUGAAUAGUCCCGACAAAGCAUGCUUACUCUGAUCACUUUCACUCUUGCACCGUCCAGCCCAGGUAGUGGGGAUAUUAAAUGCAGGUGGGACUAUAAAGGGGGCUUUGGCACAAAUGGGGAUAAAUGGUUAAUUGGGGUUAGGACUAACAUGAGCUCUGGUUAGGUUGGUCUAUAGUUAACAAAGAUUAGGAUUAUGGCUAGUUAGGGUGAUGGUUAGGAUUAGCUGGUUAGGGUAAUUUAGGGAUUAGUUAGCUGGGAUUAGUUAGUUAAGUUUAGCUAGGGUAUGGUUUAGAUAGAGUUAGCAAGCCUAGGCUAAGAGUAUGGUUAAAUAUGGUGAGAAUUAUCAUCAAAGUUUCAGAAAGGUGGCCAGGAUGGUGAUACAGUCAUUUCACCAAGAGGGGUCUCUGUGAAGAUAGCACAGGGCAUGUCAAAACUGGGACAUGGCUGUAAUUUUACCUUUGAAAUUAUUAAAAAAAACAAUCUGUCAAAGGUAUACAUGUAGGGUAUUGCUGUACUUUGGAGUUACAGCCGAAUACAAACCUGGGGAUAUUGAAAUAGGAUAGACAAGGCCUUUCAAAUCAAUAUGAUUUUUUAUUUAUUUUUUUAAAUAGUGCUAAAUUGUUCACAGAUUGGUGACUGAAAUGCCCCAUAAUGAAGGGAAAGUUCUUGUUUUUUUCUGGCAAAUGGCACGCCAUGAUGGAGGUAAAGAGCAGCUGGGUGGCUCUAUAAGUCCAAAAGUAGAUGAAAUUCUAGACAUAUGACUAUUGUUUAGCAGCACUAGUUGUUUAGAAAUUAUUGUAAGGAAAAUAGUAAAUAUUUAUCAAAUUUUUCUCAUUUUUUUUUAAAACAAAAUAUUAUUGAUUGUUUAUUUUGUGCUCUAUAAUAGCAUAUCAGAAGAAAGCUCUAUGUCUCAUUUGACAAAUCAGAAUAAAUAUAAAUGGAAGGACUUAAUGAGAAAGGUGGAAAUUAUGGUAAAAGAAAUGCCUAGAAAAGUGCUAAAAAUGUGUUAAACACGAUUGUGUGGCAUGGCAGAACGUCGGUCACUAAAGCAUUAAAAAAGGGUAAAACAAAGAAAAUUAUGAUCUGAAAGUAAUUUAAACUUCUUAAUUUCCUUAAAAUGAAAACCCUUUAGUUUAGCGGUUGAGACAUUUUUUUAGGAAAAACUGAUGAUUUUUUUUAAAUUCACAUACUAGACACAGUUUUAUUUAUAUUUCCUAUAACAAAUAUACCAGGUAAUUCCAUUUUGAAAAAAGAAAAUUGGAAAAUCUCCUGCGUUGAUUGUAGUGGCCUGAAUUUUGAAAUGUGGUCGUCGGUUUCAUAGAUGACAAUUCUCAUUAAAACACAAUAUUUCUUCAAAAAUGGUUAAUCCCGCUUCCUCCCAUUGAUCGUGUUUUCUCUCUCUCUUCUGUUCCGUAGUCAGCUGGGUACUCAGGAGAGCGCCAAGGUUUAUAAUUCCAGACCAUUACAAGCUAAUUACUUGGUAAUUAUAAUAUCCUGCUGGCAUUCACAAUGCUAAAUAAAGCAAUUAUAUUUUAUUUGCUGUACUGUAUAAAUGAUAAAUCAUACAUUAUCAAGUAACGUUCAGCUGCAACAUUUAAAGAAUUGGUAAAGUCAUUAGUUUCAAACAGUGACAGUCGUAGGUUGUCACAGCUUUUAGUGAAAUUAAAAUAAACAGAAGUUUAAUUAGAGUCAGGGAGGGUCACCUUAGCUAAACUAUUAUUGUGUAAACCUAGCUAACAAGCUAUUAAAAAGGGAAAGAUUUUAUUGAACUACAAUACAAAAUAAAAUCUGUAUUCAGCGUUAGUGGUUUAAUAUAAGAUGUAUCGUACUGGGUUGUGAGCUCCAAAUUUGCAAAAUGUGGAUAUAAUAGCUGAAUUUAAUAAAAAUAAGUAGUUUUUAAAGUGUACUUUUGGCAAUGUAGCUGCAAAUCCAGGUAUUGGCAUUAAACAGGAUGCAAUUCAUAGCAAUUUGCAGCUAAUUUGGCUUUACAUUUUUAGUAAAUAUCAAUGUACACGAAUUUGGACAUUUAACAAACACAAAAUGGAAUCUGAUUUGCCACUAAAUGUAUCAGUUCAGGGAUUCCAGCUGCACUGAAAUAAAUAAUAAGACUUUGGCCCCAUAGUCUACCAGGCAGCACAAUGCAAAGUAAAUAAAAGGGGCUUCUAGGAGUCGCUAAUUUUCUGGAGGGAACAUCCCCCCAUUUCCUUAAGGUGCAGGAGUAAAGAGAUUAAUAAAAUAUGUUGCCAAAUGGAAUCUCAGGUAACGCCCAUACCUUAAUGUCUCUCUCAUUGCAAGACACAGAGUGAAAGUGUUAAUAAUACCAGGUCGGAAGACAUGCACAUCUCCUUCUAAUAUUCCCCAUUCCAAUAUAUUGGUUUGGUUGAUUAUUUUCUGGACCCUCAACAACCAGGAGAACUUAUUAAAUGUCCCUUAUCUCAGAAAACAAAUGUACAAAAUUCAAAGGGUUAAUGCCUAUCCCAUUGAUUAAUGUGCUGUUUACCCUUUCAGGUCCAAAAAGCUUUUGAGAUACCCUUAUCCUCACAUUCUGAAAACAUGGAGAAUCAGUGGUGACAACCCACUGGAAUUAAGGUGUCACCUCUGCCUCCCCAGGCACUGUGCCAAGGGAUGCCCUCUCUACCUGGCACCAGUAGUACGGACCCCUAAAGCACAUCCAUUGCAGGCUUCAUUUAAAAUGUAUGACAUAACCAGGAGCCAAAGCUGGAUUAAACUACAUCUGGGAUUAGAUUCAUAUCAUGACCAAGUAGCCAUCAACCUACAGAAGAGUAAUCACAGAGAAAUACUCACAACUUUAUUAUAUAUUUGAAGAUAAAAAAAACUGUAAUCUGAUCUUCGUUUCACUUUUCAAAUAUUUUCCUCAUUAAAUGUAAAAUAAUGUAUUGUGGUUAAAAUAUCUUACUAAGGUUUCCUUUGCAGAGGUUUGAUGAACAGCAACUAUUCAGAACAUUUGCUUCUCAGGUAAGCCUUGACCUGUCCAUUUAUCUAUCACUCCUCAGUCAGAGAUGCCUGUUUAGUAAAUAAUAGGUUAUUCUCCAUGGUACAAAUUGUUAGUAAUUCGAUGUGAAUUUAAAAUUUUAGGUCAAAAUGAUCAGUUUGGAAAAAUUUGAAUUGAGAUAUUUGGGUUAAACUCACUUUUAAUUAUUGACACUUCCUGACACUUAAUUGAAUAACCCUGUUUGAAUUAAAGUGGAACUGUCACUGUUUGGGGACUUUGUAUAAUUUGCAAAAAAAAAACAAGAGUGACAUUACUGCUGGGGACCUGGUGGCCAGGGGAGGGCAGGGAAAAGUGAGUUUAACUUACCUGAGCCUGUCCCUCUUGGGUAUCACCAUCCUCUUUUGGCCAGUUUUCUUCUUGAGUAAGACCCAGCUCAGAGCUGAAGGAUAUGCAACUAUCACAUGUCAUAGAACCCCAAUGUUCAUUCUCAAUGUCUCACACUAGACAGCCUUGCCACUGUGCCCACAAAAUGUGCCAUUAGCUAGAUUUACCCAGCAAGUGUGCAAUAGCAAGCACAUCUCACAAUGCAAAGCAACAGUGACACUUUGUUAUAGUGAGCAAAACAGCCGCAAGUUUGAUGCAAAUUCACUGAAAAACACUUCCAGGUUUCUCAUCAAACAUCCGCACAUGAGAACAUAAAACCCUAAAUUUCAUGUAAAUUCCAUGUGGACAAAUGACUCAUCAAAUAUCAAAUGUAAAGCACAGACUUAAAAAUGUACGGGAAAUUCAAGGAUUUCCUGAAUUUGCAAUUUAAAAACAAAUGCUCAAUCAGUCUAUGUUCAUUUUUUUCUACACAUGAUAAAUAGGGCUUUGAUUGUCUUUAUUAUCUUUAAUGACAAAAUGUGUUAAAUUGUGUUUAAAACUGAAAUGCUCCAGUCCAAAUGCAAUUAUUUGUCUGCUCUGCUAACAGUGAUUAUUUAACCGUACGAGUAUAGCAAUAUUAUAUAUAUAUGGUUUUACAUUUAUUUUCAUUACAAAACAAAGAAAAAUAAAAUUUAGCUUCAAAGCCACAUUUUCCAUUAUUUUUGCCAUAUCCCCUCCUCCCAUACAGUAUUCAAGUCUGAAUUAGAAACGUUUACUAUUCAUGUAUAGCAGUCAGGGACGUUGGAAUUGAGAGAGAGAUCAAUAUAAUUGAAUAUAGAUUAAUUGUAUGGUGUAAUAGUAUCUUAGAAAUAUCUUCGUAGUAAAAUAUUGUAGUUUACGAUAUUAUUUAACAUGGCCGUUAUGUCCACAUACAAUAUUUUUACGUUCUGCCAGCAUUUUAUGAAGUUGCAUUUCUACAAAUGUCAUAAAGUUCCUUACCGAACAACGUGGAUUAUUAUUUAUAUGUAUAUGAGGAAAAAUAUAUUUAUUUAUUUGUAUAUGUUAAUAUGAUUUACCUUGUUUCAGACAAGGGAAUAAAGGGAUACUUAUGUUAAGGAUAAAACAAUACUUAAAAAAUAAAUUGUGUUUAUUUACAUAAGUUACAUUUUAUGUUCCUCAGAACAGCAAUCUAGACAUAAAAUUGAUGUUUUAUUCUACAUUUGUGUUCUACAUUUACAUUCUCAUUUCAAAUAAAAGUUAUGUUGAUACUUUUUAAAACAAAAGUGCUUGGUAGUAAAAGGAUAACAAAUGCAUACUUUAUGUAUUUUGAAACUAGUGUAGAAAUUAAACAAGCCUGUUCGAAUACGUGAUAUUUCUUUAUAAAGUAACUACAGGAUUGUGCAUUGCUACUUUACAUGUGCACCCCCUGGUGGUAAGAUAGAGGAGCGGGCGGACUCACAGGCACACGUAUCAUGGUGUUGGGUCCGGGCUAGACCAUUUUUCUCAAUUUAGUAUAAAAUAUGCAUUUUUACCAUAACCAGCCAUUUCUGAUUAAUAUCUUCAAAAAUUUUAGCAGUAAGAAUGCAAUACAUUAACACAGCGGUAGACAACCUUUGGGACACCAGAUGUCUCGGACUAUAACUUCUUUGAUUCUUUGCCAGCAUUAUAGCUCUACGAGCAUUACGGGGGAUGUAGUUCCCAACAUCUGGAGUGUCGAAGGUUGCCUACCUCUGUUUUACCAUAUAUAACCAUUUGCUCGUAUUUAUUAUAGUUUAUGUGUAGCUAGAUUUUUGUUUUCCAGAGAAAGGAAUUAAAAACAUGGAGGGAGAUGGGAAAGAAAAAAUAUACCAAAUGGACAAGGGAUUAGAAGAAAUUGGAUGUCAUAGGAAAUAUAUGGAGAUUAUAAAAAAGGGUAAACAAAUAAAUGGAAGGUUAUUGUAAGUAGUAAAGGAUUUGUAAACAAUAAGAUAAAACAAAAUAAUUAGAGAAACAAAGAUUAUUAACUCAACAGAAUGUAUGAGAUCAUUGUCAUGGGUGUUGAUUAAUGUGGGAAUUGUCAAAGUUUCAAAGUGAAUUUCACAUUUUAGAUAAAAAAAUAUUUAAACUGAAAAAGCGUUUUGUAUCCAGCUAUAUUGGUCUAAAAUUUGAACUAUACUUUGAAUUGCUGGCAACUUACAGUUUGAGGAUUAGCCUUAUAAGAAUUGUCAGAGACUGAAUUUUACCACUAGUAAAGGAAACUAUGAAGUUUGCAUAUAAGACUGACCUCUCUGACAAAGUCCAGAAACACACUGCAGGCAGGUCCCACUUCACUAGGUGGAGGUCGAACGGGUGACUAAAAGUUAAACAAAGUUGAGUGUAGCACUCACAGAGUGGGGGGAAAUUAAAGUGAGAUCUAUUUUUGUGCAUUGAGUAUAUUUCAUCCUUUUUGAGUUUAAUCUGCAUAAAAUAAAAUCUGUAAAAGACAACAUUUAUUGAUUGCUGUUCUCUUGGCUGAUUUGUUAUCUAUCAGGAAAACAGAAUGAACGUCCAGGAUUUGCAAAGAUUUCUCAAUGAAGUGAUACUGAAAGGUAGGAUUUACUUUGCAUCAAUAAACGUAAAACAAAAAUAUCAAUAAAUCAUUGUGUUACAAAAAGUCUCGAAGUCCAUAGCCACAUAGCUGACAUAUUAAAUAUAUAAUCGUAAACACUAGGUAAAUACAUAUAGGGUUUUUUUCAUUGAUCUAGAGCUCUCUGAUUAGUGAAUAAAUCCAUCUAAAUUCAUUACUUAUGGUGUGUUUAUAUGGAUGGGUCACUUGCAAAAAAUAAAUAAAUUAUUAAAUGUUCUGUAGAUUGCAUUAAAAUAUUUUAAAAUGAACCACCACCAGUCGCUUGAGAUGGAGACAUAUAAGAUUCUUCCUUGUUUAAUUAAAGAUAUAUUAUGGUUUUCUCCUUCUCAAAGUCGACGCGUGGUGGACAUGUAUCCUUCCACCAAAAUUACUAUUAAUACAUGGAACAUUUUAUAUAGAAAAAUUCAACCCUUUGUAUUUGGGAUUACAAUGCACAUAUCCUGAUUUAAACAUUAACUAUCGGUCUUCGCAUUCUAUUACCCACAUUAAUGAUUUUUUUUCUUCAUCAAAAAUGUUUUAAAAUUUUGACCAAUUAAAAAAAAAAGUGACUUUUUAGAUGCCACUACACAUGAGACAUUGAUAUCAAUAGUUAGUGACCAUUUUAAACAAAGAAAAUUAGAAAUGACAAAUUUAGAAAAGGUUUAUCCUUCGGAUCCUCAUCGGAAACGCAUCAUUUCCAAGUUGGACAAAUGCUGAAGUGGGAGAAUGAAGUAGGUGGGGCAUAUACAACAGAAGAAUGUCAUCAUUUUUUAUUAAAAUGUAUCACACAUUGUACUAGUCAUGUUAAAAAUCAUCACAAAAUAAUAUUUAGGUGGUAUCUAACCCAGUCAAGAUUCUUCAAAUUAAAUCUUGCCACCACUAACACAGUGGAGAAAAUGAGGACAGGUGGGAACACUUUUAUUACUGAAUUCCAUGUAAAUUUAACACCAGAAUUGUGCUUAUUCAAAAAAAUCCCUGAAAAUGUAUCUAAUGGUAAAAAAAAAAUCAUACUAGGCCACCUAAUAUCUGGCAUUUCUGUAAUUUCCUGACACUGGAAGUCACCAUUCAUCCCAUCAAUGAGAGAAGUUAUUCAAUCAGUAUUUGGAAACAUAAGAUGUGAAGUAGCUCUUCGUGCUCCAUCAAAUACAACAAACAAUUUAAGAUAUAAAUGGAUAUUGUGGGAAGGAGACAAAAAAACUAUAAACUGUGUUGUUAAUUUCUACUCAAUCGAACAUUUAUUAAAAAUAAACUAUUUUCUUUCAAAUUAAUCAUACACUAUAUUGUUCUAUAUUAUAUAAAUGUGUAUACAAAUAUAUACAUUAAUUUUAUUCCUUAUUUGUAAAUGAAAACAUACUAUGAAAUGUAAACUUACAUUUAAAUUUCCCGUUUUGUUUUAUCACUAUUGUCCAUUGUAUGAUACGAUUGUUAUAUUGUACUUUCAUUGUCAUUGAAAAAUUAUUAUCAAUAAAAAAAUAGUUGAACAGAUAUUUUAAAUGAGCUGUGACUAGAUGUGAGAUAGGAAGGGAUCUGAACACAUAGGAAUGAGUAUUUACUGGUGACAUGGUAUCAAUACACUGCUGCUUUUAAAAAAAAUGCAGCUUAGCCCAUCAAGCCUAUCUCACAAUCCUCUUUUUUUCUGGUAAUUGUUUAAUCCCUUAAGGACGGCGGGCCUUUUAUGGCGUCCUUAAGGGGCUGGUCCAAGAUGCCGGCGGGCGGCAUAAAAUGUCUCCGUUAUCCUUUAUAAUUACCUUGCUGAUACCCCGCGGAUCCCUCGUCGGCGGUAGUAAUCCUGGGGACUGCCUGACAGCUCCGGCAGUUCCCCUCUGGCACAUUUGGCACUGCUGGGCAAUGUGAUUGUGGGGUCCUCACGAUCACAUGGCCGAAAUGGCUGUCUGCAGCUCUGUCUGCAAGGAAACUCCCUGGAAUGUCAGGCAGUCCCCCUAAUGCCUGUAAGAAAGUUUUAUAAAGUAAAGUUUAAUAAAAGUUUAUUAAUUCAAUAAAACAUACUUAGAUCAUGUAUAUAGUUAUAUAUAUUAAUAUUAAAAUACACUUAGAAUGAUGUUCAUUAUACAUAUAUAUAAAAUAAAAAUAAUCAAUAAAUUUAAUAAUGAAAAAAAUAACAUUUAAAAAAUGUGUAAUUAUAUAUAUAUAUGUGUGUAAUUUUGUUCUAACUGUAUUUUGAUAUGUUUAUAUAUAGACGUCAAAAUACAUUUAGAAUGAAGCUGUAUAUAUAUAUAUAUAUGUGUAUAUAUGUAUAGAGAUAGCAGCUUGCAGUGUCUUCUAUUAUAAAGUUACUUAGUGCACUCUUUCUGCUGAGAGGGGACUUAUCACCUGGGAAUUGGAAGAGUUGAACAAGCCAGCACUGCACAGGUUAGAUUGCAACCAUUUGUUGAUUGACAGGUGGCCUGUGGCUUUACUACUCCCAGAAUGCAGUUUGAGGACAUACCCAGCCUACCAGACAGUAAUGAAUAUCUGUGCUUCUCCAAUGGUGCUUAUCCAAUCAACACCAAGACCUUCCUUGGUGGCAGUGGAGUCAUAGCGAAAAGAGUUUGUGCCUCCUCAGUCAUGCAUAGAUCCCUUGGAAAGAUCCUUCCUGUAAUGCAGGUCCAGAUCCAUUCUUAUGUCCCUUAUGCCUGCUGUGAGACAAACAGGAUUAUUUACUAAAGUGAAUUUUGGCAAAAUUAAGGCCAGAGUAGCCAAACGUAAAGCUUUGUAUUUUCACCUUAGUAAAUAUCCAUCAACGUGUAUUUCUCUCGUUACCUGAAAUGUUUCAAUAUUGCACCUUCCAUACAGUCUCUAAAAUGUUUACCCCCUUAAUAAUCCAAUAAAGCAGUGGUUCCCAAUCCAGUCCUCAAGGCACGACUACCAGUCCAGGAUUUAAGGAUUACCCAGUUGAGUCUAAGGUGUUUAAAGAAAAAAAAACACCUUAGACACAACUGGGUAAUCCCUAAAUCCUGGACUAGUAGGGUACCUUGGGGUCUGGUUUGGGAACCACUGCAAAGGAUUUUAAAAAAAAUUAAAAAUGUUUUAUUCAUUUAAAAUUAUGGAAUUGACAUUUUUAGUUAUGCCCAAAGAGCAGUCCGUACCCGAAAUAAACAUGCUAUUUACCCCUUGUUUCAAAUGAAUGAGUCAAAACAAAACGGUUAUUGGAGCAAUCCAUAAGCUGAUAGAUGCCACGGCUAUAACACAAUAUAAAACAUUUUGUAUCAAAAUUAGCUUCACAGACUUCUAACGGUACAUAAAUGAACAUAUUUAUAUUUCUUUGUAGAUUUCCCUUGCAAAUCCGGCUUUAUGAAAGACUCCAGUCGAUUAAUACUGAAAUCCAUGGAUGUAUCCUAUCAAACACAAAGUCAUAGCAGCAAAUAUUUUUUAAAUAACUAAAAUUGCUCACAUGCUCAAAUCACUUCUUCAUAUUACAGUAUACAAUGUUUAAUUUAGAGACAUAGGGUUUAUAUUGGUGGGCGGUUGCAAAAGGGAACUGGUAUCACUGAAUAGUUAUGGCAUUUUGCCAUUUAGUGGCUAAUAUAACUCUAUUGCAAUGCAAGUCUUAAACAUACACCACGUGAAAUCACAAAGUCCCACAGAAAAGCUCAAUUGGAAAAACUCUCCAAGUCAGCUUUAUAUAAUUACAUUAAUUUAAAAUCACAACAAUUCACACUUUUGUGAGUUAUCUACAGAUCUAAGAAAUAAGUAUUGAAAUGUACCUGAUCUAAGAAAUACCUACCCAACUGAAUAAAAUGUUAUAACCCUUCUCCAGGAUCCAGAGAAUGUUCAGUAAUGACAGUUAGCCUUGAUCUAACAAAGUAACUGGUGGAACACAUGCAGGGCCAGAUUAAGAGCCCAGUGGGCCUGGUGCUGACCAUUAUGAUGGGGCCUAAUUACAAUUAUUAGUGUCUCAGUGUCCCCAUGUCUCCCUGCUGCCUUUCUCCCCAUCCCUCACUUACCUGAACUGUAGUCUGUCUCUGCAGGCUGGGAGCUGCUGUCUGGACUCUCUGUGCUGUGUAGCUGCUCCCCCGCGGAUCAGUGAGUAGAGAGAGACAGGUAGAUGCUGUAACUUCCUAUCCCUGCAUCUCUCCAUACACCGUGACCCCUACUGGCCGGUGCUGAAAUUGCAGAGUAAUCUCCGUUUAUACUGCGAAAAAUAUCUGCAUUUGUAUUGCUGGUCUUACUGCAAUACCGCCACGGCCAGACAGCCUCAAAUACUAGCUGUGCCAUAAAAUACCAGUCAGGUGGCAAACCUAAGAGUAGUGUUUUUUUGUUUUUUUUUUAAAUAGGCCUAUUCCAUAGGCCUGGGCCUGGAGCUGCAGCUCCAUCAGCCCCUAUGUUAAUCUGGCCCUGUUCACAUGUGAUCUAAUGAAUACUUACCACACUGAAUACAAUUUGUAGCGCAUUGUUGUUUAUGGUGGCAACCAGCUCUUUAAAAGACUUCCUCUAAAAUACUUAAUAACUGUGGAUCUAAAGAAAUAAUUAGACAAUUAUAUAUGGCCUAACAAAUUCCUACCAGCAUGAAUGAAAUUGUGUUCAUGUUUUUGUGGAGGUGUGCUAAUCCGUCCUCAACCCCACCUCCCCCAUUCUGAUUGUUAAUAGCACAUCUUGAUUGAUCUACCCUGAUCUAAUGAAUAUCCAGUUAUGAUCCCCCAUGACAUAGGUAAUGUUUUUGAAACUAGAUUAAAUAUAUUGACACAACAAGCACUUCAUACAUGAUCUAAUGAUUAGCUUCCAAACAGAACCAAUUUGUUUGUCUAAAUUUCUGUAGAGGGAUAGUUGUUUUAGGUUUACUACCCUCAAAACCAUUGCUAAUAUGCCCAUUACAUAUUAUAUCUAGCAAAAAAAAAAAUGUUAUUAAGUGUUCUUGCAUAGCAAGACCACUUAAUGUUAUCUCACAUAUAUAUUAUUAAGUGUUCUUGCAUAGCAAGACCACUUAAUGUUAUCUCACAUAUAUAUAUUAUUAAGUGUUCUUGCAUAGCAAGACCACUUAAUGUUAUCUCACAUAUAUAUUAUUAUUAUUAUUAUUAUAGCAAAAUUUGCCACCCUAACUCCUCCCACAGUUUUUACACUACAUAGACAAAAAGUUACCAAAACGUGCAGAUUGUUCCCGAUCGGAUUGCUAUUACUUUGUGGAACGUUUCGCCGAAUGGUUCACGGAAUAUCGUCGUUUUUGUGGCGCAAUUUGUCCCAUAGGAAUGAAUGGCAAAGCUAGAGUGGGAGUUGCCAAAAGCUGAAAAAUCAGGACAUGAUUUCUAAACUGCCACCACUCCCUUAUUUUCAGGCCCACCUACACAAAUCUUAUAUCAAAACGUUCAGCUAUCCCUGCUGCCACUAAACAUGUCAACGGCUAAGCCGUAGUCCUGAUAGUUUUCACAAUAUGACCAUUUGUUUGCAACUAACGCCGUCCAUUGACAUUCAUUGAAACUUCACUCUGCAAAGCUCAAAUUUGAAGUGCAAUUUCUAAACUGCGACUGUGCCUUCAAUUUUAAUACUUCAGAGACAUACUAUGCAUCAAAAUGUAGGUCUGGGUCUUGUGAUUCUCACAAUAUAAAGCUCUUCGCUGUAGGAUUUAUAGUUUUUAAAAUACGACCGUUUGAAGAUGGCAACCGCCAAAAUACUCUGACCUGUGUCAGGCUGCAGCAGCAAGUGAUGUCAUAGACAGGGCCUUUUGAACACCUGCUAAUGUUUUUAUAAAUGUAUGGUUUAAUGUAACUGUGCAACAACGUUGCAAUUAAAUGUGCUAGACUACUGGUGGAGGCAAGAAUCACUUCACACAAUUUCCCCAGAAAUUGUAGCUUUUCUAGUUAUUAUUAUUCUUAUUCUUAUUCUUAUUAUAGCAAAAUUUGCCACCCUAACUCCUCCCACAGUUUUUACACUACAUAGACAAAAAUUUACCAAAACGUGCAGAUUGUUCCCGAUCGGAUUGCUAUUACUUUGUGGAACGUUUCGCCGAAUGGUUCACGGAAUAUCGUCGUUCUUGUGGCGAAAUUUGUCCCAUAGGAAUGAAUGGCAAAGCUAGAGUGGGAGCUGGCAAAAGCUGAAAAAUCAGGACAUGAUUUCUAAACUGCCACCACUCCCUUAUUUCAGGCCCACCUACACAAAUCUUAUAUCAAAACGUUCAGCUAUCCCUGCUGCCACUAAACAUGUCAACGGCUAAGCCGUAGUCCUGAUAGUUUUCACAAUAUGACCAUUUGUUUGCAACCAACGCCGUCCAUUGACAUUCAUUGAAACCUCACUCUGCAAAGCUCAAAUUUGAAGUGCAAUUUCUAAACUGCGACUGUGCCUUCAAUUUUAAUACUUCAGAGACAUACUUUGCAUCAAAAUGUAGGUCUGGGUCUUGUGAUUCUCACAAUAUAAAGCUCUUCACUGUAGGAGUUAUAGUUUUUAAGAUACGACUGUUUGAAGAUGGCAACCACCAAAAUACUCUGACCUGUGUCAAGGCUGCAGCAGCAAGUGAUGUCAUAGACAGGGCCUUUUGAACACCUGCUAAUGUUUUUAUAAAUGUAUGGUUUAAUGUAACUGUGCAACAACGUUGCAAUUGAAUGUGCUAGACUACUGGUUGAGGCAAGAACACUUCACACAAUUUCCCCAGAAAUUGUAGCUUUUCUAGUUAAGUGUUCUUGCAUAGCAAGACCACUUAAUGUUAUCUCACAUAUAUAUUAUUAUUAUUAUUAUUAUUCUUAUUAUAGCAAAAUUUGCCACCCUAACUCCUCCCACAGUUUUUACACUACAUAGACAAAAAUUUACCAAAAGCGUGCAGAUUGUUCCCGAUCGGAUUGCUAUUACUUUGUGGAACGUUUCGCCGAAUGGUUCACGGAAUAUCGUCGUUCUUGUGGCGAAAUUUGUCCCAUAGGAAUGAAUGGCAAAGCUAGAGUGGGAGCUGGCAAAAGCUGAAAAAUCAGGACAUGAUUUCUAAACUGCCACCACUCCCUUAUUUUCAGGCCCACCUACACAAAUCUUAUAUCAAAACGUUCAGCUAUCCCUGCUGCCACUAAACAUGUCAACGGCUAAGCCAUAGUCCUGAUAGUUUUCACAAUAUAAUCAUUUGUUUGCAACUAACAACAUCCAUUGACAUUCAUUGAAACUUCACUCUGCAAAGCUCAAAUUUGAAGUGCAAUUUCUAAACUGCGAUUGUGCCUUCAAUAUUAAUACUUCAGAGACAUACUAUGCAUCAAAAUGUAGGUCUGGGUCUUGUGAUUCUCACAAUAUAAAGCUCUUCACUGUAGGAGUUAUAGUUUUUAAGAUACGACCGUUUGAAGAUGGCAACCACCAAAAUACUCUGACCUGUGUCAAGCUGCAGCAGCAAGUGAUGUCAUAGACAGGGCCUUUUGAACACCUGCUAAUGUUUUUAUAAAUGUAUGGUUUAAUGUAAAUGUGCAACAACGUUGCAAUUAAAUGUGCUAUAUAAAUGAUAACAUUUACUCCGCACACUCCAGUUGUAGACUACUGGUGGAGGCAAGAACACUUCACACAAUUUCCCAAGAAAUUGUAGCUUUUCUAGUUAUUAUUAUUAUUAUUAUAGCAAAAUUUGCCACCCUAACUCCUCCCACAGUUUUUACACUACAUAGACAAAAAUUUACCAAAACGUGCAGAUUGUUCCCGAUCGGAUUGCUAUUACUUUGUGGAACGUUUCGCCGAAUGGUUCACGGAAUAUCGUCGUUCUUGUGGCGAAAUUUGUCCCAUAGGAAUGAAUGGCAAAGCUAGAGUGGGAGCUGGCAAAAGCUGAAAAAUCAGGACAUGAUUUCUAAACUGCCACCACUCCCUUAUUUUCAGGCCCACCUACACAAAUCUUAUAUCAAAACGUUCAGCUAUCCCUGCUGCCACUAGAAAUGUCCACGGCUAAGCCAUAGUCCUGAUAGAUUCCACAAUAUGACCAUUUGUUUGCAACUCACGCCUUCCAUUGACAUUCAUUGAAACUUCACUCAAGCCAGCUCAAACUUGAAGGGCAAUUUCUAAACUGCGACUGUGCCUUCAAUUUUAAUACUUCAGAGACAUACUAUGCAUCAAGAUGUAGGUCUGGGUCUUGUGAUUCUCACAAUAUAAAGCUCUUCACUGUAGGUGUUAUAGUUUUUAAGAUACGACCAUUUGAAGAUGUCAACCACCAAAAUACUCUGACCUGUGUCAAGCUGCAGCAGCAAGUGAUGUCAUAGACAGGGCCUUUUGAACACCUGCUAAUGUUUUUAUAAAUGUAUGGUUUAAUGUAACUGUGCAACAACGUUGCAAUUAAAUGUGCUAUGUAAAUGAUAACAGUUACUCCGCCCACUCCAGUUGUAGUCUACAGAUGGAGGCAAGAACACUUCACACAAUUUCCCCAGAAAUUGUAACUUUUCUAGUUCUUAUUCUUAUUAUAGCAAAAUUUGCCACCCUAACUCCUCCCACAGUUUUUACACUACAUAGACAAAAAUUUACCAAAGCGUGCAGAUUGUUCCCGAUCGGAUUGCUAUUACUUUGUGGAACUUUGUGGAACGUUUCGCCGAAUGGUUCACGGAAUAUCGUCGUUCUUAUGGCGAAAUUUGUCCCAUAGGAAUGAAUGGCAAAGCUAGAGUGGGAGCUGGCAAAAGCUGAAAAAUCAGGACAUGAUUUCUAAACUGCCACCACUCCCUUAUUUUCAGGCCCACCUACAAAUCUUAUAUCAAAACGUUCAGCUAUCCCUGCUGCCACUAAACAUGUCAACGGCUAAGCCAUAGUCCUGAUAGUUUUCACAAUAUAAUCAUUUGUUUGCAACUAACGCCGUCCAUUGACUUUCAUUGAAACUUCACUCUGCAAAGCUCACAUUUGAAGUGCAAUUUCUAAACUGCGACUGUGCCUUCAAUUUUAAUACUUCAGAGACAUACUAUGCAUCAAAAUGUAGGUCUGGGUCUUGUGAUUCUCACAAUAUAAAGCUCUUCGCUGUAGGAUUUAUAGUUUUUAAAAUAUGACCGUUUGAAGAUGGCAGCCACCAAAAUACUCUGACCUGUCAAGGCUGCAGCAGCAAGUGAUGUCAUAGACAGGGCCUUUUGAACACCUGCUAAUGUUUUUUAUAAAUGUAUGGUUUAAUGUAACUGUGCAACAACGUUGCAAUUAAAUGUGCUAUAUAAAUGAUAACAGUUACUCCGCCCACUCCAGUUGUAGACUACUGGUGGAGGCAAGAACACUUCACACAAUUUCCCCAGAAAUUGUAGCUUUUCUAGUUAUAUUUGAUCUAACACAUUUAAUUAGGUGAAUGAUUUCAUUCUUAAUUGGGGUUGCGGGAAGGUAACAAAGCUGAGAUGAUUUGAAAGGGAACUAAAACAUGUUGAGAAAAUAAACUCAAAAUGUCUGUCUGUUAUAUACAUUCUAUUACUAUUAAUAAAAUACAGAUGAGGUCUGGGAGAUUACCUCUCCUCUUCCUCCACCCUGUGUGUCGAGGGAUGGAAUGGAGAUUUAACUUUUAAGGGGCUUUGCUAAUGGCUCCUAUCUCCGCCCUGUGUGCAGUGUGGUGGAGAAUAAUGCAAUAACAGUUGUAAAGCAGUACCAUCUCUAAAAUAAGGGAUGCUAAGGCUUCUCGGACAAGGGCUGCCAAAUCCAUUUUGCCCUGAUAAAAUUAGAAUUUCCCAACUAUAAAGUGACCACACUUCCCAUGAUGGCUUGGUCAUCCCCAAACUCAUUCUGGGACAAUAUACAGCCCAUAGUCAUAAAUACCUAUUAAAUGGUUUGCAGUAUAAAAAUAUCUGUAAAUGUUAAUAAAAACAUGAGUAGCAGUGGCGAGUAUUUCUCCUUUUUCUUUUAAAAUUGGAAAUAGUUUUAAUUUUUUUCAUCAACGAGAUCAACAUUGAUAUGUUACGAUGCUUCUGCAAGUGAAUUUCAAAGCAUGUGUUUUGUUUAAAUCAAUCAUUCAAGAAUAACCCACAUUAUAAAAAUAACUACAAAAUAAAGUAGAUUAAUAAUAUGUAUGUCUAUAAUUAGGUGAUGAGCAAAAUCCUUAUAAUGCUUAGAAUGAAAAAGCAUGGAUUUUAAGACAUUAUUUAUUUUUACUUUUUGGAUUCCUGACUUCUGAAAAUAUUCACAGUAGAGUGUACGCACGUUCAUAGUGUCAAUACACUGUGUUGUUCUAAAUUUUACAUUAAAAACAAGGUUGGAAUUUUUAUUAUGAAACUAAAUUCAGUGAGUAUAAUUCACGUUAUUUUGUAAUGUUUCCUUCUUUAAUUCUUUAAACCCAAUUUUAACUUAACUGAGUGAGCAGCAUUCUGGAGCCGGGAGUCUUGACGCUAAUCAAUUUUCUCGAUUAUGGCGCUAUCUGAAGAGGUUUAAGGUAACAAGCAAUGUUUUGUGUUUUUGUCUUGAUAUGGUGAUAUGGUUGCGUUAUGUUUUUAUUUACAAUGUGUUGUAUUAAUGGUCUGGACUUUAAUUAAUUAUUAAUACUCACUCUACAAAAUAUUUGUUUUUAAGGAUAUUUUUUUUGACAUUGACACGAAUCAGUGUGGUUCUCUUAAUUCAUACGAAUUUCGAAAGGCAGUGGAAAUUGCAGGUAUGUGUUAUCAUGAAUAAAAAAAAAAGUGCCUGUAUCCCAACAUUUCAAACAGACAAAGAGGGACACUUUAAUUUUAGGUGUAUGAGUGGGGCAUGGUUAGGGGGUGGCCACUGGUGGUGCUGUCCUUGGAAAUUUAAAGUGACUUAUUAAUAAUAAUUUAUACAACUAAAUGUAAUUUAGAGCAAUAAUGUAGCAGUAACAGUAAUUUAUACAGACUGAAUGUUUUCACAUUGUUCGUAGUAUAAGUAAUAUUCUUUUUUAUAUGUAUAAAGAUAUCAAUUUAUUUAUGCGUACAAUUAUAUGUAUAAUUAUGAAAACCAAUAUAGAAUGAAAUACCAAAAAAUUUAAUUUAGAACAAGAACAAUGUAUCUUAUUUACACAGACUGAUUUCUAAACACAUUUAUUGUAGUUUAAAGACACAUUACUGGGAGUAUUAUUGUUGUGAAGCUCUGUUAAGCAUUCAGACACACCACCAAUAUAGAGCUCCUAAAAAAGAGGGACAGAUGGACUGUCGCUCUAAAAUAGGGACACUUGGAAAGUAUGUAAGUGUAGCUGAUGUACCUGUAGGCACUGUGCCCAAGGUUUCCACAUCUGGAUUACACUUUUUACUUUUAGCCAGAUUCAUUAAAAAAAAUAAACAAACAGAAGGUAUGAAAAUACUAACAUGCAAAAACCUAAAGGAACACUAUAGGGUCAGUAACACAAGUAUGUAUUCUGACUCUAUAGCAUUAAAAACACCAUCUAGGCCCCCUGCUCUCCUGCCCCUCUAAUUAUAUUAAAAUCUUAACUUUAUUCCAGUCUGCUGCUGACUCUGCCACUGAUCUGCCUGCUUGGCUGACAUCAUCUGAAGUGGUAAACUUAGCAAAUCACAAUGCUUUUACAUAGGAAAGCAUUGGAUUGGCUGAGAUUGUCAAGGAGGCAGAUCAGGGGAAGAGUAAGCACAAGUUAAAGACAACCCUGGCCAAUCAGCAUCUCCUCACAGAGAUACAUUGAAUCAAUGUAUCUCUAUAAUGAAAGUUCAGUGCCUCCAUGCAGAGGGUGGAGACAGUGAAUGUCAGUCACACUGUGCAGCACUGCCCCAGGAAGCACAUCAAGCAGCCAUCUGAGGAGUGGCCAGUGGAGGUGUCCCUAGGGUGAAAAGACAGUGUUUACUGCAAAAAGCCUGAAGGUAAUGAUUAUACUCACCAGAACAAAUUCAUUAAACUGUAUUUGUUCUGGUGACUAUAGUGUCCCUUUAAUGGCUUGGCUCUUGGUUUGUCCCUAAACAGUGAGAAUAUAUACAAAACUAACAAUAAUUAAUAUAUAUUUACCAAGGAUAUACCAAAAUAUAUUUAAGCAAAGUAUUAAAAAUACCAAUUUACUUUUACAUUAAAAGUAGUGAUUUAGAAUAGUAAGGGUUAGAAGGUGUACCCAUAAUCCUAACUAUCUCUAAUGCAUAUGUAGAGCUGUCUUUUUGUCUAGCUCAUAGAAUGUGUAAGUCAUAUAUUUAGAAUUUAAUUAAUUAUAUAUUAGUAAUAUAUGCAGGCACUAGACACAAAGGCUAACCCAUAAACACGUCUGUCUCAAUGCAGGACUUCAAAGGGAUGAGCUCAAUCAUCUAAUUCUUCUAUUCGGAGACUCUGAGAAUAACAUACACUUUGUAGAAUAUUUAGUGUGCAUGUUACGACUGAAAGCAGUUGCAGGUAAGUUCUUUAUUUGUGUGUUUAGUUAUCACUGAUGUAUCUACCUAAACUGAAGGUGAGCAAGCUGCAUUGUGGUGGGAAUUGUUGCUCAGCCAUGUUUGAGCAGGGAGAAAGUAGCCAGAUAGAACAUAACGUAAGUUUAGGAUAGAAUGGACAGUUAUUCUGAUGAGCAAGAGAAGAUCGACUGACAUUAUUGACCAGUUUUGGUUUCAUUUUGUAUCACUUUAAAAUGAAAGACCAGUUCUUCCUUCGCUUUCCAGCGUUGACCCUCACUCGGUAAAGAAAUUAAUUUCUCUGCCAGGGCUCAGGUCUAAAUAAAUAAUUUAAUAUCAUAUAAAUAUUAAAGCUGGUCACUGAUAAAAGUAUGGAAAGAAUUACAGGUGAAAUAAGAAGAUUAUGUAUUUGUCAUCUUCGCAGCCAUCACAUGUUUGUAUCAUAAAAAUUAUUUUGAUAUUAUAUUUACUGAAUAAAAUUUAGAUAUUAAGCAAAUCCCAGAAGACCAGUUUUAAUUCUUAUAAUUACAUGUUAUUAUAGAGCUUUAUUUAUAAUGUCUAACUCUGGUAAAUAAAAAGUUUUUUUGCCAGGAUUUGAUGUCCACCAACAUGCUCACUGUGCCAAAGCUUAUAUAACAAUUGGUUUUCUUAGAGAAAUCCAAUUAUAUGUUAAUACUGAUUAUUGUCAAAUUUAUACCUGGACCUCCAGAUUAAAUAAUCCUCACACCAAGAACCUUUGAAUUUCCAUCUUUUCGUAGGUGUGUUUAAAUGCUUCUCAACUGAUGGGAAAGGCGUGUAUCUGAGUUAUGAGCAGGUAAGUUAUAUUUCAUGUUUCUGAAAGAUUCAAAAUAAUUUUUCUAACAUAUGGAGUAAUCUGAUAAAUUUCCUGAAAUGUGGAGUAAUCUGAUAAAUUUCCUGAAAUCUGGAGUAAUCUUAUCGAUUUCCUGAAAUCUGGAGUAAUUCUAUAGACCAGGUUUUAUACAGGUAUAACACUCUUUAAAUUCUCAUAUGCAAUUGAUGUUCUACAAUAUUUUUGUUGUUUUAAUCCAGUUUUUACUAUACAAAGAUUUGGGGAUCUUUAUUUUAUAAAAAGGAACAUAAUGUUUCCAGCCCAUCCCUGAAAACAGAUAUUACAAUGUAAUUAUUCAUUUAUAAAUUAGUGGAUUUUGUUUUUAAGCACUCUUUGGUAAUACGAUUUAUUGUUUAGUAUUUAUUUACAAAGAAUCUAUAUGGUGCUAUGUUUUGUUGUACGUCUGUUAGCCUUAUCAGAAUUUGUUACAGUCAAUUUAUGUUGUUUGCUUUGUAUUUUAGAAAGUCUAUGUACACAGCACAUUCCAAUAUAGAUUUAACCCUUAGAACACAGAGUAAAUACAAGUAGCAUGUAUCUGUUGCCGACCUAUGCAAUCAGAAUCUGACUUUCCCUUUUGCACUGAAAAUCAAAGGAUGGUAUUUAUUUAAAUAUAGCACAUAUUGUAACCAUUUUGUGGCUGUAUCAUAAAUCUUUAUUCAGUACUAACAUUGACUGUGUUGGAAUUUAAUUAAACUUCCAAUGCAAUCAAAGGAUAUCUUAAGACAAGUUAGGGAAUAUAGUUAAGCUGCAGUCAAGUUUUGUGAAGAAACAAGUAUCUUCUUGUGCAUUGCCAGAGAUAACGUGGUCUUGAGGGAUCCUCCAUAGACCUCAGCACGAAAGGUUGUCAGUGACGCAGGCUCCUGGUUGAUGAAGCUCCAGGAGCUGAAGAAGAGAGGUUUUUUUUCCUGCACAAUAUUCUGCUUUUAUUUAGUCCCUUAGGGAAUCAAUACAAGAGUUUAUUUUUAAUACUUAGAGCCAAUCAAAUGUUUGGAGUUUGUAUUAUAUCAAGGAAUCACUAUCCUCCUAGAUUGUAUCCUGGACUAUCCUUCAAGAUAGUAUCCUAGACUAUCCUUCUAGAUCGUAUCCUAGACUAUGCUUCUAGAUAGUAACCUAGUCAAUGCUUCUAGAUAGUAUCCUGGACUAUCCUUCUGGAUAGUAUCAUAGAAUAUCCUUCUAGACAGUAACCUAGACUAUCCUUCUAGAUAGUAUCCUAGACUAUCCUUCUGGAUAGUAUCAUAGAAUAUCCUUCUAGACAGUAACCUAGACUAUCCUUCUAGAUCGUAUCCUAGACUAUGCUUCUAGAUUGUAACCCAGACUAUCCUUCUAGAUCGUAUCCUAGACUAUGCUUCUAGAUAGUAACCUAGACUAUGCUUCUAGCUAGUAACCUAGUAAAUGCUUCUAGAUAGUGUCCUAUACUAUCCUUCUAGAUAGUAUCCUGGACUAUCCUUCUGGAUAGUAUCCUAGACUAUCCUUCUGGAUAGUAUCAUAGAAUAUCCUUCUAGACAGUAACCUAGACUAUCCUUCUAGAUAGUAUCAUGGACUAUCCUUCUGGAUAGUAUCCAGGACUAUCCUUCUCGAUAGUAUCCAGGACUAUCCUUCUGCAUAGUAUCCUAGACUGUCCUUCUAGAUAGUAUCCUGGACUAUCCUUCUAGAUCGUAUCCUAGACUAUGCUUCUAGAUUGUAACCCAGACUAUCCUUCUAGAUCGUAUCCUAGACUAUGCUUCUAGAUAGUAACCUAGACUAUGCUUCUAGCUAGUAACCUAGUAAAUGCUUCUAGAUAGUGUCCUAUACUAUCCUUCUAGAUAGUAUCCUGGACUAUCCUUCUGGAUAGUAUCCUAGACUAUCCUUCUGGAUAGUAUCAUAGAAUAUCCUUCUAGACAGUAACCUAGACUAUCCUUCUAGAUAGUAUCAUGGACUAUCCUUCUGGAUAGUAUCCAGGACUAUCCUUCUCGAUAGUAUCCAGGACUAUCCUUCUGCAUAGUAUCCUAGACUGUCCUUCUAGAUAGUAUCCUGGACUAUCCUUCUAGAUCGUAUCCUAGACUAUGCUUCUAGAUUGUAACCCAGACUAUCCUUCUAGAUCGUAUCCUAGACUAUGCUUCUAGAUAGUAACCUAGACUAUGCUUCUAGCUAGUAACCUAGUAAAUGCUUCUAGAUAGUGUCCUAUACUAUCCUUCUAGAUAGUAUCCUGGACUAUCCUUCUGGAUAGUAUCCUAGACUAUCCUUCUGGAUAGUAUCAUAGAAUAUCCUUCUAGACAGUAACCUAGACUAUCCUUCUAGAUAGUAUCAUGGACCAUCCUUCUGGAUAGUAUCCUAGACUAUCCUUCUAGAUAGUAUCCUGGACUAUCCUUCUGGAUAGUAUCCUAGACUAUGCUUCUAGAUCGUAUCAGACUAUCAUUCUAGAUAUUAUCUAGAUAGUAUCCAUUCCUGACUAUCCUUCACUGACUAGAACCUGAGUGAGUACACGGGUAAAACGUUUUCCUAUACUCUAUUGAAGGUUUUAUCAUUUAAAUAAGGGGAUUUCAAGUUAUAUACUAUAUGUAAUCACUUAAGGGUUACCCCAGUGAGCACUUCUGGAAUUUGGUGAUUUAUGAAGAAGAAAGAUGGCUUCACCUCCGAGCUGCCACACAUUCAUUAAAUGUCGAGAUCCCCAGAGGUGACAGAGCUGCUUAACUUCUUUCCUAAUACUCACAUCCUGCCCCAUCCCUGAAAAAAAUAUUUUUUUGCAGCUCUGUAUCUGCUCAGUAUACAGAAAUGUGUUUUCUGUAUAUUAAUUCAUACAAACAUAAUGUGCAAACAUACAAAAAUGUUACACUUUAUAAUAUUUGUUCUCUAUUUUUUCAAUCAUAUUCCUUACCCUACUCACCAUAUUUUUUUCCACAUUAAGAAAUAUUAUAUUGAGUUUUGAUGGCGGAGGGGGAAGAACGGCUAAACCGAACAGUGUUAUUUUAACUUGUUGAAACUCAUCUCUAAAAUAAUUAAAACUAGUUGCAAAGAUUCAAUUAUAUGACAGAUUUAAAGCUGUACUUCCCCAUCUCUAUAAGGCUGCUACUUUUUAUGUUAUUAAUUUACUGAAACUAAAAUGGCUAUUCACAGUGUCACUGUCAUUGUGAUACAUAUACAUCUAUACGGUAUCGAUAUUAGUUCCUUGUUACUUGAACAUUACAUUGUUUCAUUACAGUUGAUGAAAUCCAUGAUAUGAAGGCCGAGGGUCAAGAUUCAGAAACUGGAAUGAAGCCUGGUAAGACAGUUUGGUAUCUGGCAGUGAAAGGGAAUCCUGGACCUGCAGAUGUUUGUGAAUGAUAUUUCCCAAAAUGCUCAGCCCACCUCUAGGACCAUUAGAGUACACAAACAUCCUGAGGACCACCAAGACUGACCUUUGUUCCUAAACGGAAUUUCACCUGGAAAGUCGAUACAAUAGAUUAGAAGUCAUCUCACUGCCCCAUAAUUGCCUUCAUAAAGUGUAUGCCAACUGGCAAUCUGGCUAGAAUUAAUCAAAAUUCCACAGAUUUAGUGGAAUAUCAGUCAAGGACAAUCAAUAAAAUAUCUGGAGAAAAUGAUAAUGUAAAGACUAGGACAUCCCUGCCUUGACAGAUAAUACAAGAAUGCAUGCCGAAUAAUGAAUGCAUACAUUAACAGUCAAUACAGAACAAUGUAUACGGUUUUAUUCUUCUGAAGUUUGCAAAUAUGGAAUGUUGACACUUUAUAUCCUGUUAAAUUGUACGGGUGUUCUAUAUUACAAUAAUGUGUGUACUGUUCUUCAUUAAUCUCUUUUACUUUUUUUCUUGCAGGAAUUCUAUAACUGUUGCCAACAUUGAAGACAUCAACCAAUGUUGACUUUCUCCAUUUAAAUACUCAAGCAUUCUGUUCUGAUUGUAAUGGAUUGCAACUUCCCAAAACGCUGGCUAGCACUGGGUUACAAAUGAUUAAUUAGUGUCGUUAUUUUUCUGUUAAUGCUCGAGAAAGGAAUGGUCGACCGCCGUAGUAUUGUCUAGUAUUACAGAUCCAAUGGUGCUUCAAGCAUUAAAGCCCGAUAAUUAAGUAAAAAAUAAGAAAUUCAUUCUUGAAAUAUCACAUAUUUACUUAACUGUGAUUCCUUUAAAAAAUGUAAAGUAGUACAAUAGUUUGUUCUAUGAAAGCAUUAAAUGUGUUGUGAUAUUUCUUUAUAUAAUUAUAAAACAACAUGUCUUUCAGACCAAAGAUGUCCAAACUCCACCUAGGUGUUCAACUACAUUUCUCCUAGGAUUGUAGUAGCCAACUUUAAUUUCACAUAAAAUAUUUAUAUAUGAAACAUAAUUAAAUAUGAAUAAAAUCUAAAAAAGUGUGAGAAAUUAAGAAAUUUUAUUUUUUUUAUAUCUGCAUGGCAUUUUAACUGUGAAUUUCAUAAAACUGUUACCUUUUACUGCAAUUAAAAAUUGUCUCACGUACAUUGUCUCUUGUACAGAUUUUUUGGAAACUUACAUGGUCAAGUAGAGCACAUUCCCUUUUUCAACUUUCACAAAUUGAAAUUUGCCAGAUUGGUUAUGUUGCCUUUGAGACCAUAUAGCAGCCCAGGAAUAAAAAUGACCCCGAUC